UACGUAGGGGGCAAGCGUUGGCCGGAAUCAUUGGGCGUAAAGAGCGUGUAGGCGGCCCGAUAAGUCCGCUGGGAAAGUCCAGGGCUCAACCCUGGAAUGCCGGUGGAUACUGUCGGGCUCGAGUUCGGAAGAGGAGAGUGGAAUUCCUGGUGUAGCGGUGAAAUGCGCAGAUAUCAGGAAGAACACCCGUGGCGAAGGCGGCUCUCUGGGACGGUACUGACGCUGAGACGCGAAAGCGUGGGGAGCGAACAGG
rnacentral:rRNA from 1 species